rnacentral:rRNA from 1 species
UGGGGAAUAUUGCACAAUGGACGGAAGUCUGAUCCAGCAACUCCUCGUGCGGGAUUACGGCCUUCGGGUUGUAAACCGCUUUUUCUCAUUACGAAGUUUUUUGACGGUAGUGGGGGCAGAAGCACCGGCUAACUACGUGCCAGCAGCCGCGGUGAUACGUAGUGUGCGAGCGUUGUCCGGAAUUAUUGGGCGUAAAGAUCUUGUAGGCGGUUUGUCGCUUCGAUAGUGCAAACUCAGUGCUUAACGCUGAGCCUGCUGUUGAUACGGGCAGACUAGAGGAAGGUAGGGGAGAAUGGAAUUCCCGGUGGAGCGGUGGAAUGCGCAGAUAUCGGGAGGAACACCGGUGGCGAAGGCGGUUCUCUGGGCCUUUCCUGACGCUGAGAAGCGAAAGCGUGGGGAGCGAACAGG